UCUUUUUCCCUUCCAUCGAGUUGAACUGUGUAUUGAUUUGGGCGAGCACCAGACCAAAUUAACGGACCAUCGGAGAUCGUAAGAGCAUCGAAACGAUACAAGUAAAAGGAAAGUAGAGUAUUGUGUUGGAAAAGCAGAGAAGCAGACAAUGGAUUCGGUCCCAGAAGAAGUUAGUAACAGCAGCUCAGGAGGAGGAGAAGGAGGAGCUGAAAACACAAACACACACGAGAACCGUUCUCAGCAACGUCAAUUACCAAUCCGCCCUCCUAUUCAGCCGGCAUCAGAGAAGUACUCUCCCUUAAAUUGGUCUGCCUAUUUUGACCAAGAGGAUGAUGUUUCUAUCCCUGAAUCAGAUGAUAUCUUCCAUGUAUAUACGGCAGGAAAGGAAGGACCAGUUGUCUUUUGUCUGCAUGGAGGCGGGUAUUCUGGGCUGUCAUUUGCAUUAGCAGCGAAAACAAUUAAGCAGGAAGCCAGGAUAGUAGCUAUGGAUCUGAGAGGACAUGGAAAGUCAUCUACUGAGAAUGAGUUAGACUUGUCAAUUGAGACUUUAUGUGGUGAUGUCCUUGCUGUUUUAAAGACAAUGUAUGGAAAUUCUCCUCCUGCAAUAGUGCUCGUUGGUCAUAGCAUGGGAGGUUCAGUUGCAGUCCACGUUGCUGCUAAGAAAGUAUUACCUAGUUUGGCUGGGUUGAUUGUCGUGGAUGUCGUAGAGGGAACUGCCAUGGCUUCCUUGAUGCAUAUGCAGAAAAUUCUGUCAAACAGAAUGCAAUACUUUCCUACCAUUGAGAAAGCGAUUGAAUGGAGUGUAAAAGGAGGAACUUUAAGAAAUGUAGAGUCUGCACGUAUAUCCAUUCCCAGUACAGUGAAGUAUGAUGAUUCCAAAAAGUGUUACGUUCACAGAGCAAAUCUGAUGGAAACGGAACAAUACUGGAGAGGCUGGUAUGAAGGCCUAUCAGAAAAGUUUUUGUCGUCACCUGUUCCGAAGAUAUUGCUGCUAGCUGGAACAGAUAGACUGGACAGGGCACUUACUAUUGGUCAAAUGCAAGGAAAGUUCCAGAUGGUACUAGUUAGACAUACUGGCCAUGCUAUACAGGAAGAUGUACCUGAUGAAUUUGCCACCAUUGUUCUUAAUUUUAUCUCACGUAACAGGAUAGGACCAAAUGGAGUUGAGCAUUGCAGAUUUACCAAUAUGAGAAAAUAAACAACAAUUUAGCACUUUCCUCCACUGUAGUGUUGAUCCUUGGAGAGAUCCGCUAGGAGCUUAUUGUUUAAUGAAACAUGAUGCAGUAGACUUGUUCUCCUUGGUUGGGGUACUGAGGUGAUGUGGCACUAUGGGUUGCAUAUUAGCAGGCAUUUAUCUUUUUAAAUUGCCCCCCUGACGGGCAGUAGGGAGCAGUCAGGUACCACCCUCCCACCAAGGCAUUGAUCCUUGCAGGGAGCAGUCAGAUACCAGGACUGCGUCGACCAAUGAAGUCACAGCAGUAAACAGAUGUGAAAGAACUUAAAGCUGACUUGUAAUGAUGCGAGAUUGGUUAAUAUAUGUGUUUAGAUGCCGGAUAAUCAAGGGGAUGCAAGACAUAUUUACUCAGAGUGAUUGUUUAUCUUCCGGUGCAGUUAAAAUGCUCAAGAGUCAUUUAGCGCAAAAAGAAAAAAGAAACUUAAGAGUCGGUUUUACACAAAAAAAUUCUAAGGAGCCGGUCAAUUUUAUUAUUCAAGUGCCAUGACAUUAACUGGCGUUGGUUUUAUAUUAGCAUGUCUAGACUUCAGCUACUAUAUGUAUCUAUGGACCAGGUUUUGUUAUGUGAACUUUUACCUAUGUGAAAAUUUACAAAUAUGAGUCAAAUAUUAGAUAUACAAUAUUACAA